GGAAUAUUGGUCAAUGGGCGCGAGCCUGAACCAGCCAAGUAGCGUGCAGGAUGACGGCCCUACGGGUUGUAAACUGCUUUUAUGCGGGGAUAAAGUGCGGCACGUGUGCCGUUUUGCAGGUACCGCAUGAAUAAGGACCGGCUAAUUCCGUGCCAGCAGCCGCGGUAAUACGGAAGGUCCGGGCGUUAUCCGGAUUUAUUGGGUUUAAAGGGAGCGCAGGCUGGAUUUUAAGCGUGUUGUGAAAUGUACCGGCUCAACCGGUGAUGUGCAGCGCGAACUGGAGUCCUUGAGUGAGUACGACGUCAGCGGAAUUCGUGGUGUAGCGGUGAAAUGCUUAGAUAUCACGAAGAACCCCGAUUGCGAAGGCAGCUGACGAGUCCUUAACUGACGCUAAAGCUCGAAAGUGCGGGUAUCGAACA
rnacentral:rRNA from 1 species